rnacentral:rRNA from 1 species
AACGAACGCUGGCGGCAUGCUUAACACAUGCAAGUCGAACGAGACCUUCGGGUUUGGCGUCGCACGGGUGCGUAACGGGUGGGAACCUGCCUCGAGGCUCGGAAUGAAGUCCCGAAUGGGGUGCUAAUACCGGAUAAUGUACUCCGACCAAAGGUUUGUCGCCCUUGGAUGGGCCCGCGUCGGAUUAGCUAGCUGGUAGGGUAAACGGGUAUCAAGGGGACGAUGCAUAGCUGGUUAGAGAGGCAGAGCAGCGACACUGGCACUGAGCCACGGCCCGGACUCCUGCGGGAGGCAGCAGAGGGUGAUAUAGCACUAUGGGGGGAGGCAAGAUGCAGUUCUGCCGGGUGAGUGAUGAAGGCCUUAGGGUUGUACAGCUCUUUUACACGGGGUGAUAAUGACGGUACCGGGAGAAUAAGCACCGGCUAACUCCGUG